GAGUUUGAUCCUGGCUCAGGAUGAACGCUGGCGGCGUGCCUAACACAUGCAAGUCGAACGAAGCACCUUUUAAGAUUCUUCGGAUGAUUGAUCGGUGACUGAGUGGCGGACGGGUGAGUAACGCGUGGGUAACCUGCCCUGUACAGGGGGAUAACAGUUGGAAACGGCUGCUAAUACCGCAUAAGCGCACGAGAGGACAUCCUCUAGUGUGAAAAACUCCGGUGGUACAGGAUGGGCCCGCGUCUGAUUAGCUGGUUGGCAGGGUAACGGCCUACCAAGGCGACGAUCAGUAGCCGGUCUGAGAGGAUGAACGGCCACAUUGGAACUGAGACACGGUCCAAACUCCUACGGGAGGCAGCAGUGGGGAAUAUUGCACAAUGGGGGAAACCCUGAUGCAGCGACGCCGCGUGGAGGGAGAAGGUUUUCGGAUUGUAAACUCCUGUCGUUAGGGACGAUAAUGACGGUACCUAACAAGAAAGCACCGGCUAACUACGUGCCAGCCGCCGCGGUAAUUC
rnacentral:rRNA from 1 species